AAACAGUUGAGUAUUACAAUUUUGAACCACUCUUAGCUGUCAGCAAAGCUGCCUGUUACAUCAUAUACAGAAACACACCCUGGAAAAAAGCCUGUUCCUGGUUUCAAAACAUCAAAGCAGAAGAAAAUAACGCGAGCUGAUGCUACUAAUAAAAAAAGCUGAAAUCCAGCCAUAAACAUCAUUUUACCACAAUUUUGAGAACCUUUUUCCUCACUUGGCUGCGUCACGAAAUAAUUCCAGAUAUUCCCACAAACAACUGGAGACCUGGAACCUUGAUGGUGACUCAGUGACCCUGGAAUAAUAGGCUUGGAGAGAGACUCUGGCUUGGAGAGGUGAGGACGAUGGGAGUCUGGUAUGGGAGCAAGACCGAGGUGAAUGGAGUGGAGUGAAAAAAUAUAGAGGCUGUCUAUGACAAGCCAAGAUUGGGUGUUAAUUCAUUCUGAAGCCAGGCAUUUUAAUUAAAGUUAGAAUGAUUGACAGAAUGCAGAACUUUGUUUGCCUCCUCAUUGAAUGUCAUAGAGUUGUACAGAUUUACAGCAUGGAAACAAAUCCUUUGGUCCAACUCGUCAAAGCUGACCAAAUA